rnacentral:rRNA from 1 species
CAGGACGAACGCUGGCGGCGUGCUUAACACAUGCAAGUCGAGCGGAGAAUAUAGCAAUAUAUCUUAGCGGCGGACGGGUGAGUAACGCGUGGGCAAUCUGCCUCAUACAGGGGGGAUAACACUGGGAAACUAGUGCUAAUACCGCAUAAAAUAGUGAAGUGGCAUCACUUUACUAUCAAAGGAGCAAUCCGGUGUGAGAUGAGCCCGCGUCCGAUUAGCUAGUUGGAGGGUAACGGCCCACCAAGGCGACGAUCGGUAGCCGAACUGAGAGGUUGAUCGGCCACAUUGGGACUGAGACACGGCCCAGACUCCUACGGGAGGCAGCAGUGGGGAAUAUUGCGCAAAUGGGGGAAACCCUGACGCAGUAACGCCGCGUGAAGGAUGAAGGUUUUCGGAUUGUAAACUUCUUUGAUUGGGGACGAUAAUGACGGUACCCAAAAACAAGCCACGGCUAACUACGUGCCAGCCGCGGC